CACUGUCCCGAUAACCCAGGAAUACAG
rnacentral:piRNA from 1 species